UGAUAUUGGAUUUUAUUGGGUUAUUGGAUGUUUUGUGAUUUAAAACUUGUUAAGAUUUUAUUUUUUGAUUUUAUCUUUAUUUUAAUCCUUAUCUUUAUCUUUAUCCUAAUCCUAAUCUUUUUCAUAUAAUCUUAGACUUAUCUUGUUCUACUCGAAUUUAACACGAUGGAACAAGAUUCUUGCCUUUGAUUAUAAAUAUGGGGCGAGGUUGCACGAGUUUAUGAAUAAUAAUAACCCGAGUAUACCUAAACCCUCUCGUCUUUUUCUACUUUCUCGCUAUUAAUUUUCGCCGAGUUUUUGUUGUUGGAUCUGAAGCUAGUUGGGUCAUCUUGCGCCACCUUGGAAGCGUGCCGACGGGGCGGAACGUGGUCGUUGUAUCGUUAGGAGUAAUUGCCGGGAAGCCUCGCACGUAGAGGGGCAAUUUGGCUUAUAGGACAAUGCUCUGCACGCCUCGAUCCACAGGGCAUAUCUAAACCUUAUCUUUAUAAUAUUUUUGUUUAAUUUUGUUUUGGAAUUUUUCUAUAGCUGAAAUUGAAUUUUCGAGUUGUUUUUAAAGAGUAUUGUAAUAAAAGAUCUGAAAGAUUUUCCAACAAUCUAGAAGCGAAAUUUUUUAAUUAACUUAAUCUUUCUGAUCUUUCUGUUUCUUUUAUUAUUUUUAUUAUAGUUAUUAAAAUAUUUCUUUUCUACAAAUUAAUAAAUAUUUAGUAAACUGCUUUA
rnacentral:lncRNA from 1 species